rnacentral:rRNA from 1 species
CCAAUAGCGUAUAUUAAAGUUGUUGCAGUUAAAAAGCUCGUAGUUGAAUUUCGGAAUCAGUACGUUGGUCGUGCCUUCGGUAUGCACUGGCGUCACUGGUUUCUCCUUUCUGAAGAACCGUGAUGUCAUUAAUUUGGUGUUGCGGGGAAUCAGGACUGUUACUUUGAAAAAAUUAGAGUGUUUAAAGCAGGCUCACGCUUGAAUACAUUAGCAUGGAAUAAUGAAAUAGGACGUUUGAUUCUAUUUUGUUGGUUUCUAGGAUCGACGUAAUGAUUAAUAGGGAUAGUUGGGGGCAUUAGUAUUCAAUUGUCAGAGGUGAAAUUCUUGGAUUUAUUGAAGACUAACUACUGCGAAAGCAUUUGCCAAGGAUGUUUUCAUUAAUCAAGAACGAAAGUUAGGGGAUCGAAGACGAUCAGAUACCGUCGUAGUCUUAACCAUAAACUAUGCCGACUAGGGAUCGGAUGAUGUUAAUUUUAUAAUGACUCAUUCGGCGCCUUACG